CCUUUGUGCAGCAGGCGAAGUUCCAACCUUGCUGAUAGCAAUUAUCUCAAAUUGGUAGGCUGAGUGAGACAGGAUCAGCGUGAGUAAGGGGUGGCUUGUGUUAAAGGUCUCAGUGGUCUCCCCUCCUGACUUCUUCACAGUCACCCUGUAGCCUUCAGAUACUUCACUGGCUGCAAACUGGCAAUGGUAGGAUUAAAAGUCCAGUAGAUAUACACCCAUAAAACACCAUAUUGUUUGCUUUGGUUUGAUUUUGGUAUAGAGGAAUAAAUGUAAAAAGGUGUAAAUGAUGUAGAAAGAAUCGGCACACACAACACUUGCCACAUGUUCAAUGAGCGUGUGGAGGGAGGUUUCUUGAAAUGGAACAUCCAAUAGAAAUAUUAACACAGAGAACCAGAGAUCCAUUCAGAAUUUGUCACUGACAGUAUUAAAUGAUGCAAAAUCAAUUAUAUGUGGUACCUUCUCUCUUUUAAAUAGUUUGUUUUAGGACUGUAUCAACACAUCAGUAAUGAAACAAAUGAGAAAAGCUAGUACAGUUGUGCUCAAAAGUUUGCAUCCCCUUGGAGAAUUGGUAAUAUAUGUACCAUUUGUAAAGAAAACAUGAGUGAGCAAGCAAAACAUUUUAUUUCUUAUGGGAUUCACAUUCAACUGUAUGUCAUAACAGAAUGGCACAAUCAUAAAACAAAACAUGGCUACAAAUAAUUUAUUUUACUGGCCCCUGUUCAAAAUUGUGCUUUUUUUUUGUUCAUACCCUUAGUUCUUAAUACCAUGUAUUGCCCCCUUUAGAAUCAAUGACAGUGUGCAGUCUUUUGUAAUAGUUGUUUAUGAGGUCCCGAAUUCUUGCAGACAGACCAGAGUGGCUCGAAGAUAUUAAGGUCAGGAGACUGUGAUGGCCACUCCAGAACCUUCACCUUUUUCUGCUGAAACCACUGGAGGGUCAACUUGGCCUUGUGCUUAGGGUCAUUGUCAUGCUGGAAAGUCCAAGAGCGUCCCAUGUGCAGCUUUUGUGCAGAAGAAUGCAAAUUGUCUGCCAGUUUUUCUGAUAACAUGCUGCAUUAUCUUUCCAUACAUUUUCACAAGAUUCCCCAUGCCUUUAGAGCUCACAAACCCCCAAAACAUCAGUGAGCCACCACCAUGCUUCACAGUGGGGAUGGUAUUCUGUUCACUAUAGGCCUUGUUGAACCCUCUCCAAACAUUCAUCACUCCAAAUUACAGUGUGCCAGAAGCUGUGUGGCAUUUCAAGGUGUUGUCAGGCAUAUCGUAACCGGGCUUUUUUGGGUCAUUGGUGCAGUAAAGGCUUCUUUCUGGCAACUCGACCAUUCAGCCAAUCUUUGCUCAACUAUCAUUGUAUUGGGCUCCUUGAAACAACCACACUGUCUUUUUCCAGAGCAGCCUGUAUUUCCCCUGAGAUUUCCAGUGGGUUUUUCUUUGUAUCCCGAACAAUUCUUCUGGGAAUUUUGCCUGAAAUCGUUCUUGGUCUACCUGACCUUAGCUUGGUAUCAAGAGAUCCGUGAAUUUUCCACUUCUUAAUAAACGAUUGAACAAUACUGACUGGCAUUCGCAAGGCUUCAGAUAUCUUUUUAUAUUCUUUUCCAUCUAUAUAAAGUUCCAUUACCUUGUUACGCAGGUCUUUUUUUCUGCUCCCCAUGGCUCAGUAUCUAGCCUGCUCAGUGCAUCAACGUAAGAGCUAACAAACUCAUUGACUAUAUAAAGACUAACUGCAAUGCCACAGGUCUGGGAAAUUCACCUGUAAUUGCCAUUUUCACCAGUGUGUGUCACCUUGUGUGUCUGUAUCAAGGCCAAACAUUCAAGGGUAUGUAAACAGUUGAUCAAGGCCAUUUGGCUGAUUUCUGUUAUCAUUAUGAUAUAAAAAGGAACCAAACAACUAUGUGAUAAUGAAUGGCUUCAUAUGAUCACUAUCCUUAAAUAUAUAUAUAUUUUUUUUUUUGCAUGAUCAGUCAUAUUUUCAAAAUCAAUGCCAAAAGUUAACAAUUUCUGCCAAAGUUAACAAUUUCCACAACUAUAUGUUCCUUUUCUAUCAAAACACUUGAUUUUUGAAAUAAAUAAUUCUAAUCCAAAAAUAUAAUUCCAUGUUUUGAGAUGAGGGAAUGGAGUGUGAUGUAUUAAAGUUAUGGUUCAAAAUAUAAAAAAGAAUAAUAAUAAUAACAAAAACGAUACACAGGUUGGGAGCCACCAGGCCACUUAGAAGCAAGUGGAAGAAGCCAUUCUCUUGUGUAGCAUGUUUUAUGGAUGACUUAUUGGGGAACAAGAAACCAGUU
ensembl:lncRNA